GUAUAAUUAUAGCUGUUUGUUUUCACACAUUAGAAUCUUCUUCCCUCCCAGCCACGGCUAACCACUUUUCUCAGAAAUUUAAUACAAUUAAUUACAUAUUUUUUCAUGUACGCACACGUGCUUAAUUUUUUAAUAUCUCAAAGAGAACAAAACUAGCUAUCAUAUUUCUUGAUAUUAUUGAAUGAGUGCGAAUGAGAAAACAUAACUGUCAUUAGUGCCAAAAGAAAAUCCCAAAAAGGGUAAUUAAAAAAACGAUUGAAAGAUGCAAGUCAUUCGCUCGCUUAGAACAAAAGUAUUGGAAAUCAUAACAUAGCAUUGAAAAUCAUAGCACAUCAUUGGAAAUAACAAUUAUAUCAGAAGCAGCAAAUAUAAUAGAUAAAUAAAUCUUUGUUCUAUGGUUUAAAUCGACCUGAGCAGUGCAAUAAAAUAUCUGAUUAAACUGUUGCAUGACAUGAGAAAUUGACAUCCAGUUCGUACAGAUUUGGCAUUUCAUAUGGAUUUCCCGUUACAUUUGUGAUAAACGCCCGGAUAAUGAGAUAACUUUCGUAAAUUUCAACAUGACGCGCAGUGUAAAUACGAAUUAGAUGUGGCGAUUUCACAAAAAUGAAGCUCAACAACCUAAAAUGAAGUAAAAUGAGUUUGAUGUCUCACAAACCUCUAAAGCCAUAUUAACAAAAUUGCAAAUAACGAAUCAUUUUGGCAUCUUCUCAGACUGUGUGAAUAUUUUGAUUAUGUUAAAAACAAUUGGAUAUUCCAAGCGUAGCCAUGUCUUUCUCCAUCUGGUC